UCCCUGGUGGUCCAGUGGUUAAGACUCUGCACUCUUAAUCCAGGGCACCCAGGUUUGAUCCCUGGUCAGGGAA